GAUAGGCCAAGCAUGCCCUCAGUGAUUUUGAUGUUGGGCAGCGAGACUGUGUUGCCUCAGCCAAAGCAACCCGGUUACUUGGCGGACAGGAAAUCUACCAGACAAGAUUAUUCAUCAAGCACGCCUGAAUCAUGUUCAACUAAUACAAUUACGAUCUCUGAGUUGGAGGGUCGGUAGAGAAUCUAUUUGUAGUAUCAAGUGCAAAAGCAGUAAUAUGUCAACCAAAUGGAAAGUUAAGAUAAAUGAUUGGAUAAAAAAUGAUGAGGAUCAUCCAGUGAAUGCAUGUUGUGGAUCUAAAAGUUCAGAGGACAGGCCAAUUUUGCAGCUGACUACUUGGCUAAAAAUGCAGGCUCUAUGUAGGUCAUGAUCCUUGGCUUUGUUAUGAUAGGUAUGGGACAAUGAUUUCUCGUUCGGUUGUGUCUUAACUUGGUUAAGCCUAUUUUUGGUAAAAAAAAAAUAGAAUGUAAACUAAUGUUCAUAUAGAAAUUGUAAAUUAGAGGUACUGUGAGCAGUGUUGGGUCCAAAAAAAUGAUUAACCGAGAAUUAAAUUAAAUAAAAGCAAGAUAUUAUAAUUGUUUUGAUAUAAAAUAUUUGCUAAUACAUUUAUGAGAAUAUCUUUGGUGCUUUUGGAGCAUUUUUAUCUAUUCACAAUCUAUCACUUGUGUAUAUAUGUCAUUUAAAAGUUCAAGUUAAAAUUUAAAUUUUGUAGGUUUAUGAAUGUAUAGAGGCUAUUUUAAUAGAUUGAUGAAGGUUAAUUAGAAACCGAAAUGAUUUUUUCUUUUAAUUUUUUUUUCUUUAACAUGCUAAAUCCACCACUCCUGCCGAUAAGAAUUGGAAUGAUUUAUUUUUAUCCUAAUGAUCAUAAUAAAAAUCUUUUAAAAUUUUUACUAAUUUAUCAAAAUUAUUAUUUAAAAAUUAUAUUUACCCCAAUUUUUUUUUUACCUACAAUUUUUUUUUCACCACGACUGUGACUUUUAAUAUAACUUAGGUUAUCAAAAUUUUGAGCUUCAUUCAACCAACCAUAACUAUCAUGAUCAAAGUCUACGUUGCUUAAGUCAAGAAAGACUUUAAUGGGAGGGAGAUAAUUAUUAUUAUCGACAUUACAAAUAGACCCCAAUUAUAUCUAAAGUCUUUGGGCUCGUGUCCCGUUUUCUUCUUUUUCAAAACCCUAUUUACUAACCAUUAAUUCGGUUGGUUGGUUGAAUCCGGCGGUUGAUGAAUUCGGUUGGUUGAUGAAUCCGGCGGUUUCUGAUUUUCUUAUUUAUUUUUAUGCGAGUGACCCCGUAACGAUAGCAUCGCAAUCUCAUGAAAAAAAAUUUCCAAACGCAUGAAAAUUGGACACCCGUCAACAAAAAUCUUUUUGUUACAAUAUUUACUGUACUUUCAAAAAUUUGAACAUGACAAAAAUUAAGUAAUCUACUUAUUAUAAUAAUCUAUGACCAAAAAUAUUGAACAUGUAUUUAUUUUUUUUUUUUGUAAUUAUACACGCACAUCACUCUUUUACUGUUAAUUGACUAAACAUGUAUGAUAAACGAUUUUAUAAUGGAUUGUCUCAUAAUCUAAAUUUAUCAAAUAUCUUAAUGGUGAGACUAUUUGAAUUGAAUCCACAAAAUUCUUUUAAAAUUUUCUUUACAACUUAUAACAUACUUUUCAGAAAGUUUGUCGAGUAUUAAUUCAGAAAUUUAUUUCAAUAUAUAUCAAGAAAAAUUAUUUGGUUAAGAGAAAUGAGCCCCUUUGAAAAAUUGAGUUGGUGAAGCAUGAGCUCAUCAUUAGGCAACCCAUCAAAUUAUUCAAUAAACACAUUUGCCCCACACAUCCAUAAUUAAUUAAAAGGAUGGAAUUAUUUGAACUUAUUAAAUUUCUCUUAACAUCCAUUUAUUUAAUAUAUCCUCUAUCAAAAUCUUAAAAUUAAAUUUUAACUCUGUAAACCUCUUAAUACCCCACAAAUAACCGUUUUAUGGUUGGUGCAAUAAUUUAGAUAAUUAAAUUAUUUAUUAUUUUGGUAAUUUUUAUUUAAGAUUAUUUUUGUAAUAUAAAUUUUUAUUUAAAAUAGGUCUAAGGUGCUUUUUUAUGGGGGCCCAAAUGACCUUAAAAUUAGAAAAAAUAAAUUUUACCAUAUAAAAGUAAAACCUCUUGUAAUUCCUAAAGUAUCCUUGAUUAGAUUUCUUUUUUUAAUUUUAAUAUUUUCUCUCUUCUAUAGAAGUUGCUAUAUCCUUUCUUGGUAAGAUGCUCUGUUCAGGCUUCAAUGUACUUGGCUUGAAUUGGCAACUUAACUCGAAUCAAUUCGGUUUAUGCCUUUGAUCAAACUCAUUUUGCCUAUCCAAGAAUCUGCAAAAUUAAUUGGUAUUAUCAUAUCGGUGCUGCUUAUAAUUGGCAGUGCUUGCAUUGCCCUGAAUCCAGGCGUUGCUCGAGUAAAGUUGGGCUUCCUUAUUCAUUUUAGUGACAGAUGAAAACAUUAAAAAAAAAUAUCAGGACUUGUUUGUCAAAAUUUACAGAUAUUUUGUUCUUUAAUUAAUUUUAUUGUUACAAACAAUAGGAUAGCAGUGUCGUCGAACCAGUUGCUUACACCUGGGGCAACAUAGUUUUUUUUUUUUUUUUUUAGUUUGUGAGAUGGCCAAUAUAUGUGUAUAUAUAUAUAUAUAUAUAUAAUUAUUGACUCAAUGUGUAAAAGGUACCAAUAUUGACUCAAUGUGUCAAAUUUCUUGAAAAGUUUAACAUCAAAUGCCUUUUUUCCACUGUUGUUAGUAUAAGUCAAAUUUCUUGCAAAUUUUCUAUGGGUGUGAUGAUUUUUUUUUUUUUAAGUGCAAACGGCCCACCCUUCUGUCCUUCACAUGUUCUGCGUUCCCCAUGUUCACAUUUUACAAUAUUAAAUAGAGAAUUUUGAGUCCAGAAGCAAUGACUUUCUGGUCAGUCCCCUCCAAGAUGGAUUAUCAGUAAUGGUGUUUAAUUAUAUUUAUUUAAUUUGUUAGAGAGAGCUCUACGUCUAUAGAGUAUAACAAAUGGAUGUAUUUAUGUUUUCCUUCAUCUGUUGUAAGUUACUGUUUUUCUUGUCUGAAUCCUCUUUCGCUUCCGACACCAUUACUUCAUCUCAGUCCCUCAGUGAUGGCAGGACCUUAGUUUCAAAAGAUGGAAGCUUUGAGCUUGGUUUCUUCAGUCCUGGUAGUUCCAAGAAUCGUCACGUGGGAAUUUGGUACAAAAAUAUGCCAGUUAAAACUGUUGUUUGGGUUGCAAACAGAAUCAACCCCAUUAAUGACUCUUCUGGGUUGUUAGUUGUAAACGAGACGGGCAAUCUUGUUUUAACAAGCCAGAACAAGAGUGUAGUUUGGUCAGCAAACUUGAGCAAAGAAGUCCGGACUCCAGUUGUAUUGCAGCUACUAGAUUCAGGAAAUCUUGUCCUCAGAGGUGAACGAGAUGGCGGUUCUGAAACUUAUUUAUGGCAGAGCUUUGAUUAUCCUUCUGAUACAUUGCUACCGGGAAUGAAGCUCGGAUGGGAUUUGAAGACUGGUCUUGAGCGGCGUAUAACAUCGUGGAAGAGCCCAGACGACCCGUCUCCUGGAAACUUUACUUGGGCAGUUGAACGACAAGAUAAUCCUGAGUUAAUCAUGUGGAAGGGAUCAAGAAAGUUUCACAGGGGUGGCCCAUGGAAUGGCCUUGUCUUUAAUGAGGAUGAGCUGUACUACACCUUCGACAUGACAGAUAAAGAUGUUUUCUCAAGGAUUGUUAUGAACCAAACACUCUAUGUACGUCAACAAUUCACAUGGGAUAAAGCAACUCAAAGUUGGGAAUUGUAUGCAAAUGUGCCAAGAGAUCUAUGUGACACUUAUGCCCUUUGUGGUGACUAUGGCAUUUGCAUCAUUAGCGAUACGCCUUUUUGCCAAUGUUUAAAAGGUUUUAAACCAAAGUCAAGGGGAUAUGUGGACUGGUCUCAAGGGUGUGUGCGCGAUAAGUCGUUAAACUACUCUACACAAGAUGGCUUCAUCAAGUUCACUGAGCUGAAGUUGCCAGAUGCUACUUCUUCUUGGGUGAGCAAAAGUAUGAAUCUCUAUGAAUGCCAGGAUAAAUGCUUAGACAACUCUUCUUGUAUGGCAUACACAAAUUCAGAUAUCAGAGGAGAAGGCAGUGGCUGUGCCAUGUGGUUUGGCGAUCUGAUUGACAUGCGAAGCUUUCCAGAUGCUGGGCAGGACUUCUAUAUUCGAAUGUCUGCUUCAGAGCUAGGUAUCCGUUUACUUGUUUAAGUUACUCCAUUAUGAGAACUUAGGAGUGCCACUCCAGUUAGAUUAGUUCCAUAUUUUUAUUGUGUAAUUUAGUAAUGAGUUCAGAUUGAGAUGCUCCUUUCACAAAAAGCAGUUUCUGGGUAUGGCUUCUGUGCAUAUAAUUCUGCUGCUAUUUGAAUCAUUUUUUCUUAGCUAUAUGAUUAUUGACUUGCUUUGCUAUAUCUGAAUAUGCUGAUCAAGGAGUGAAAGGUGAGCCUAGGACGAAGAUAGUGGUGAUAGUCAUUUCUACUGCUGCUCUGUUAGCUGUGGUGCUUAUAGCUGGCUACUUGGUUCACAAAAGAAGGAGAAAUAUAGUGGGUAUAAUAUUGCUCCAUUUUCCUUCACAAAUUUUCGUUGACGAUUUGAUGCAGGAAAAUCAAACUCUUAUAAAUAUUAAAUUUACAACAGUCGAUUAAGUUUUUAUAUGCAACAAUAACUGUAUGUUUGUUUCAAGAUGAAGAGUUAACAGUGCAUAUCAUUUAGAUCAGGGGCAAGGUAAUUAAACUUGUAAAUUUUUCACCUAUGGUUCUUUAUUUACUUGCACUUUCAUAUUGACUGGAAUAUAGCUUUAAUAGAAAUUUACAGAAAAAGAACCUUCUCAUCAAGAACAUGAAAAUUGUAGUUACUAGUUAGUAGUUUAAUAUUGUCCAGUAUACGUACUGCAUAUGUGCUUUCAGUUAAUAAUAUCCAAUAUUUCAGAGAAAACAGAAAACAACAGGGAAACUGAUCAGGUUCAAAACAUGGACCUGGAGCUACCACUGUUUGAGUUAGCUACAAUUGCUAAUGCCACCGAUAACUUUUCAAUCAACAACAAGCUUGGAGAAGGUGGCUUUGGACCUGUUUACAAGGUAAACUUGAAACUUGCCAGUCAAAAAUAAUUAUUUUACCGGGUAACUAAAUUCACAUAUAUGUCUUGUUCAGGGCACGCUAGUGGAUGGACAGGAAAUUGCUGUGAAGAGGCUUUCGAAGAUUUCUGAGCAAGGAUUGAAGGAGUUAAAGAAUGAAGUUAUACUAUUUUCCAAAUUACAGCACAGAAAUCUUGUAAAGCUUCUUGGCUGCUGCAUUCAGGGAGAGGAGAAACUGUUGAUUUAUGAAUUCGUGCCGAACAAAAGCCUGGACUCUUUCAUUUUUGGUCUGGGUCCCUAUAACCUUAAAAUAUUCGGCUAGCUUGUGCCUUGAUUAUAGACGUUUCUUAUGUAUUUUCAGAAAAUUUUGUACUAACCUUAAUGUGGUAAUUUGUAGAUCAAGAAAGAUGUAAGAUAUUGGAUUGGUCCAACCGUUUCCACAUUAUUUGUGGGACUGCUAGGGGUGUUAUGUACCUUCAUCAAGAUUCUAGAUUGAGGAUUAUACAUCGAGAUCUCAAAGCAAGUAAUGUGCUACUCGAUCAAGAUAUGAACCCAAAAAUUUCGGAUUUUGGUUUGGCAAGAGCUUUUGGUGGAGACGAGACAGAAGGAAACACAAACAGAGUAGUUGGAACAUAGUAAGUACUUUUUUGUCAUGUGAUCUUUAUGAUUCACUUGCAUUGAUUAAUGAAAAUUAACUUAUAUAUUUAAUCUUUUGAAGUGGUUAUAUGGCACCGGAAUAUGCUAGUGAUGGGCAAUUCUCAGUAAAAUCCGAUGUCUUCAGCUUUGGAAUUUUAUUGCUGGAGAUAAUAAGUGGAAAGAAAAAUAGAGGAUUUUAUCAUUCCGACAACAAGCUUAACCUUAUAGGAAAUGUAAGUAAAAUGCAUACGACAUUUUCUAACAUAGUUUGAACUAAUAAACUAUAGAUGAUAAAAGAGUUUUAAUAUGUUGUAGGCAUGGAAGUUGUGGAACGAAGGCAUGCCUUCACAAUUAAUCGAUCCGUGUAUUCAAGACUCGUUCAAUCUUGCUGAAGUGAUACGAUGCAUCCACAUCGGUUUGUUAUGCGUGCAACAGCAUCCAAAGGACAGGCCAAGCAUGCCCUCAGUGAUUUUGAUGUUGGGCAGCGAGACUGUGUUGCCUCAGCCAAAGCAACCCGGUUACUUGGCGGACAGGAAAUCUACCAGACAAGAUUAUUCAUCAAGCACACCUGAAUCAUGUUCAACUAAUACAAUUACGAUCUCUGAGUUGGAGGGUCGGUAGAGAAUCUAUUUGUGGUAUCAUGCCUUAUUCUACAUUGUCAAGUGCAAAAGCGGUAAUAUGUCAACCAAAUGGAAAGUUAAGAUAAAUGAU
rnacentral:lncRNA from 1 species